GAAAGGCGUAGUCGAUGGGAACCACGUUAAUAUUCGUGGGCCUGGUGGUAGUGACGGAUCUCGUGUGUUGUAUCUCCUUACUGGAUUGGAGGUGCAGCGAAGAGGUUCCAGGAAAUAGCUCCACCAUAUAGACCGUACCCUAAACCGACACAGGUGGGCAGGUAGAGUAUACCAAGGCGCUUGAGAGAAGUAUCCUGAAGGAACUCGGCAAAUUACCUCCGUAACUUCGGGAGAAGGAGGCCCAUCAUUAAGGCAACUUUUUGGUGGGGGCACAGAAGAGGGGGUGGCGACUGUUUACUAAAAACACAGGGCUCUGCGAAGUGGUGAACACGACGUAUAGGGUCUGACGCCUGCCCGGUGCUGGAAGGUUAAGGGGAGCGGUGAGAGCUGCGAAUUGAAGCCCCAGUAAACGGCGGCCGUAACAAUAA
rnacentral:rRNA from 14 species